rnacentral:rRNA from 1 species
GACGAACGCUGGCGGCGUGCCUAAUACAUGCAAGUAGAACGCUGAGGGAGGAGCUUGCUUCUCUGGACGAGUUGCGAACGGGUGAGUAACGCGUGGGUAACCUGCCUGGUAGCGGGGGAUAACUAUUGGAAACGAUAGCUAAUACCGCAUAAUAGCAGUUGUUGCAUGACAACUGUUUGAAAGGUGCAAUUGCACCACUACCAGAUGGACCUGCGUUGUCUUAUCUAGUUGGCGGGGUAACGGGGCACCAAAGCGAAGAUACAGAUCCGACCUGAGGGGGUGGUCGGCCACACUGGGACCGAGACACGGCCCAGAAUCCUACGGGAGGCAGCAGUAGGGAAUCUUCGGCAAUGGACGGAAGUCGGACCGAGCAACGCCGCGUGAGUGAAGAAGGUUUUCGGAUCGUAAAACUCUGUUGUAAGGGAAGAACGAGUGUGGGAGGGGAAAGUGCACGUUGUGACGGUAUCUAACCAGAAAGGGACGGCUAACUACGUG